rnacentral:RNase_P_RNA from 1 species
AGGCGUGCGCAUGCGGCCGCUGGCGGGGCGACCCGACCAGAGGAAAGUCCGAGCACGGCAGGACAGGGUGGUGGGUAACGCCCACCCGGCGCGGGCCGCGCCGAGGGAAAGUGCCACAGAGAACAGACCGCCGAUGGCCCCGGCCCGCCCGACUCGCAGACCCCGCACGGAGUGCGGGGCCACCCAAAGACAGCGAGUCAGGCGGGCCGGGGCUCAGGCAAGGGUGAAACGGCGGGGUAAGAGCCCACCGCCCGUCGCGUGAGCGUCGGGGCACGGCAAACCCCACCCCGUGCAAGGUCACGCAGCCGCCGCGGGCCGCCUCCUGGCGGCACGACAGCCUGUCCGGCUGGAAGGCGACGGGUGGACCGCUUCAGGGUUCCGGCAACGGGGCUCGCAGAGAAAUGGUCGCACGGCGUCGAAGGUCUCCGCAAGGAGAAACCACGAUGCCCGACAGAACUCGGCUUAUCGCGCACACUGGUCA